GAUGAACGCUGGCGGCGUGCCUAAUACAUGCAAGUCGAGCGAACAGACGAGGAGCUUGCUCCUCUGACGUUAGCGGCGGACGGGUGAGUAACACGUGGAUAACCUACCUAUAAGACUGGGAUCACUUCGGGAAACCGGAGCUAAUACCGGAUAAUAUAUUGAACCGCAUGGUUCAAUAGUGAAAGACGGUUUUGCUGUCACUUCUCGAUGGAUCCGCGCCGCAUUAGCUAGUUGGUAAGGUAACGGCUUACCAAGGCAACGAUGCGUAGCCGACCUGAGGGGGUGAUCGGCCACACUGGAACUGAGACACGGUCCAUAGUCCUACGGGAGGCAGCAGUAGGGAAUCUUCCGCAAUGGUCGAAAGCCUGACGGAGCAACGCCGCGUGAGUGAUGAAGGUCUUCGGAUCGUAAAACUCUGUUAUUAGGGAAGAACAAAUGUGUAAGUAACUAUGCACGUCUUGACGGUACCUAAUCAGAAAGCCACGGCUAACUACGUG
rnacentral:rRNA from 1 species